CUCAGAAAAGAAAGAUGCUGCAGUUAUUAAAGAAAAGGUCAAAUCAGCCCCUGCAAAGAAAGAUGCUGCAGUUAUUAAAGAAAAGGUGAAAUCAGCCCCUGCAAAGAAAGAAGCUGAAAUUCACAAAGAAAAUGCCAAAGCAGCUUCAUCAAAAAAG